GGGGGGCUGGCGCAACGGUAGCGCGUCAGAUUCCAGCUAAGUUUCAGCUUGACUCCUGAAGGUUAUCGGUUCGAAUCCGAUGUCCCUCA